rnacentral:sRNA from 1 species
AAACUAUGUUAAUUGUUUCUCAUUAGUACACAUAAAAGAACAUUACCUCAAACAUCAAUCUAUCUUAAAUAAUGAUUUUACAAGGAUUUUUAAAAGGGGUUUAAAAACGUUAAUAAUGAUUUUACAAGAUUUUUUAAAAGGAUUAUUACCUGAGUAGUAGAUGCAGAAUGAGAAGCAAAAGGAUUUGAAGUCGUCUCAGCCUGUAAUAAACUCAAUCACUGACUUAAUAAUGAUUUUACAAGGAUUUUUAAAAGGGGUUUAAAAACGUUAAUAAUGAUUUUACAAGGAUUUUUAAAAGGGGUUUAAAAACGUUAAUAAUGAUUUUACAAGGAUUUUUAAAACGAUUAGUACCUGAGCAUUAGGGACAGAAUGAGAAACAAAAGGAUUUGAAGUAGUCUCAGCCUGUAAUAAGCACAAUCACUGACUUAAUAAUGAUUUUACAAGGAUUUUUUUAAAUUAUAACACAAGAAGGUUAUUGAAAAACCUGCUCAACUGUCACAGAAAUUUGCUCUACAGUCAAACAUAACUGAAGCAAUCCUCCACUCUGUGAGAAUUUGUGCAUAAAAGUUGCAAGCUGUCUAUCGUUCCUAAUAUAAAGAGGAUGAGAUUGUAUGGUUGUAGACGUGGAGACUAACUUGUAACUAAGCUUCAAAGAAUUGGUUGAACUAUCUAUUUGAAAAUCCUCUACAAGAAUAUCAACCAACGCGUGAUAGGUAAUGUGCUCAUCAAUGAGCACUAAAGAAGCUCCCAAAUCAAUGUCUAAUUCAAAUUCCCAAGUCAUAUUGUUUGUCAACUUCCACAAGCCACAAACAGAAUACAAUUCUAGCAUUAUAACCUGAUAAGAUAAAUAACAACAAAAUCAACACCCACAAAAACACUGUCACUACAGAGAGAAGCAAGGUUUACAAUUCGUUUUAAAGCGUAAGUAAGUAGCAUAGAAUAAUUUACAAGAGAUUUUAAAAGCUUUGAAAAGUGGUUAACAUGGUUUACAAAUCGUUUUAAAGCGUAAGUAAGUAGCAUAGAAUAAUUUACAAGGGAUUUUAAAAGCUUUGAAAAGUGGUUAACAUGGUUUACAAAUCGUUUUAAAGCGUAAGUAAGUAGCAUAGAAUAAUUUACAAGGGAUUUUAAAAGCUUUGAAAAGUGGUUAACAUGGUUUACAAAUCGUUUUAAAGCGUAAGUAGCAUAGAAUAAUUUACAAGGGAUUUUAAAAGCUUUGAAAAGUGGUUAACAUGGUUUACAAAUCGUUUUAAAGCGUAAGUAGCAUAGAAUAAUUUACAAGGGAUUUUAAAAGCUUUGAAAAGUGGUUAACAUGGUUUACAAAUCGUUUUAAAGCGUAAGUGACAUAGAUCUAUCACGAAAGCAUAUGCAAAAGAGGUAAACACUAAAUCAGAACCAAAAUCUAUUACGAAAUAGUAUAACAAAUUCACAUAAGCAAAUCUAUCACGAAACAGUAUAACGAAUUCAAAAGGAUUUUAGAACAGUAUAACGAAUGUACAAGGAUUUUAGAAACAAAUUCAAUCAUCAAAUCUCAAACAAAAUUCAAAUUCGAAGCUGAAGCAAAUGUCAAACUGUCGAUUGAAUCAGGAUUCAAAUAACGAGUUCACAUAAUCAACAACCAAAAUCGAAUAAACCAAUUCGAAAACGAAGAUUUAAGCUAACAUUAUAAAAUCAAACCUGGAAAACGCAAGAGAUUCGACGGCGACACACAGCUCUACUUACGACGGCGAAGAUGGGUUUUCACGGCGAGUAAACUCAUUAUUUCCGACGGCAUGAGAUUCAACGGCAUUCACAAUUUCCGAUGGAGGAAGAAGAGAGAGAGUGAAGAAAUGAAUUAGGUCUGUGGGUAGCUCAUUAAGGGUAAUUUGGGGAGAAAAGUAUUAGAAAGGGUAGAAAUGAAAAUGGGAAAAAAAGGGUAGAGUUGCAAAAGGGCAUUGAGAAAAGGGCAUUAGAGUGAAUUAUUCUUUGAAAAAGUUUAAGGUUAACAAAAUAAAAUAAUAAUUUUUUCCGCAAAAAAUAUUCCGACAAUAAUUUUUUGCCAAAACUCUUAAAAACUCUUGUAAAUCCGACUCUUUAAAAAAUCUUGUAUAUCUUUUUAAAACCUUUUAUAAGGGUUCACAAGAGUUUUAAAAUAGUUCAAAAAUAUUUACAAAUGUUGUAAAAUAUUUAUAAUAAUUUUUUUGAAAAGUUGAAAAAU